UACAGAGGGGGCAAGCGUUGUUCGGAAUUACUGGGCGUAAAGGGCGCGUAGGCGACCUGUUAAGUCAGACGUGAAAUCCCCGGGCUCAACCCGGGAACUGCGUCUGAUACUGGCAGGCUUGAAUCCGGGAGAGGGAUGCGGAAUUCCAGGUGUAGCGGUGAAAUGCGUAGAUAUCUGGAGGAACACCGGUGGCGAAGGCGGCAUCCUGGACCGGCAUUGACGCUGAGGCGCGAAAGCCAGGGGAGCAAACGGG
rnacentral:rRNA from 1 species